GUGAGGAAUAUUGGACAAUGGGCGCAAGCCUGAUCCAGCAAUGCCGCGUGGGUGAAGAAGGCCUUCGGGUUGUAAAGCCCUUUUGUACGGGAAGAAAUCAUUCGGGUUAAUACCCUGGGUGGAUGACGGUACCGUAAGAAUAAGCACCGGCUAACUUCGUGCCAGCAGCCGCGGUAAUACGAAGGGUGCAAGCGUUAAUCGGAAUUACUGGGCGUAAAGCGCGCGUAGGUGGUUUUGUAAGUUGGAGGUGAAAUCCCCGGGCUCAACCUGGGAACUGCCUCCAAAACUGCAUGACUAGAGUACGGUAGAGGGUAGUGGAAUUUCCUGUGUAGCGGUGAAAUGCGUAGAUAUAGGAAGGAACACCAGUGGCGAAGGCGACUACCUGGACUGAUACUGACACUGAGGUGCGAAAGCGUGGGGAGCAAACAGGAUUAGAUACCCCGGUAGUCC
rnacentral:rRNA from 1 species